AUUGAACGCUGGCGGCAGGCCUAACACAUGCAAGUCGAACGGUAACAGGGAUCAGCUUGCUGAUUCGCUGACGAGUGGCGGACGGGUGAGUAAUGUCUGGGAAACUGCCUGAUGGAGGGGGAUAACUACUGGAAACGGUAGCUAAUACCGCAUAACGUCGCAAGACCAAAGAGGGGGACCUUCGUGCCUCUUGCCAUCGGAUGUGCCCAGAUGGGAUUAGCUAGUAGGUGGGGUAACGGCUCACCGAGGCGACGAUCCCUAGCUGGUCUGAGAGGAUGACCGGCCACACUGGAACUGGGACACGCUCCAGACUCCUACGGUAGGCAGCAGUGGGGAAUAUUGCACAAUGGGCGCAAGCCUGAUGCAGCAAUGCCGCGUGUAUGAAGAAGGCCUUCGGGUUGUAAAGUACUUUUAGCGGGGAGGAAGGGAGUAAAGUUAAUACCUUUGCUCAUUGACGUUACCCGCAGAAGAAGCACCGGCUAACUCCGUG
rnacentral:rRNA from 1 species